GAACUGUAAAUGAUGAUACCAUAGUUCAGCUGAGAACAAUGAUGUGAAUAGCUCAGUUGUCUUUCGCUCCUAUCUGAAACAGUUC